rnacentral:lncRNA from 10 species
AGACAUAAUGCAAGUGUAAGCUUGGAAAAAAGCACUACGUGUCUGCUUGCACUCCUGAGCCUCCACCAUUGCUGUGAAAACAUGCCUGGGAGAGCCUGCUGGAAGACAGUACCCAGAGCAGCGCCCCAGUCUCUCCAGUUGACUAGCCAGGACCAGCCUAGAUCUUCUGACAACUGGAUGACCUUCAGAUAUAAUUCUCAAAGCGUACUGAGGAUUGUUGCUGGAACCACGCUUAUGCCUCCGCUGUACGGCUGGCUGGGGGCUCCUGGGGUGGGAGCCGAUUACACCACCGUGAGCAGCAGUGAUAGAAGCACAAGUCGGCACCGACUGUUAGGCUCAUCUGCAGAAAUCCAGGCUCUCUGCAUUCUGGAAUAAUUUGAUCCACACCAUCUGGCAGCUUGAAAGAAGAAGAAAAAGAUGAAGAGGGAGAAGAAACAACAGCCAUGUAGCAUGAAUGUAAUUCCUAAUCUAAGUUAUGCACUCCCAUUUGCUUCAUGUAAUAUGAGCCAAAUUUAAACAUGUCAACAUCUCAACAAUUGCUGAUUUUUCAAGUGCUAUACGAUGCAUCUGGCGGGCACUCAUUGAAUGUUCUUCAAUGAUGUGACAUAAAUCUAUUUACUAAAAUAGAGUGUAUUGAAAAAGUAAAUAGUAUAUUGUAAUGUUCUUGAGUUGGCGUUUGCAUAAAUUGGGACUCUCUGAAAUAUGUGGGUUUGAGAUUUAAAAGCACAUGACUAUGUUUUUAAAUGUUCAAAGCAUCAUAAUUGUAGCGCUUACAAACCAUUGAGUCUAUUUCUCUCAUUUUAAGCAUAAGAAAACAGCCGAAGAUUAGAUUUUGAUAAUGAGAGAGCCCAACGAUCCUGGACCCCUGGCCGGGAGGACAAUAGGGGAAACAGGUGAAACACUGUGUGAGCUGGACCACCCAGGCUCUCCAACACCAGGACACCAGAGCAUCCUUCCUCCUUCUUCUCUUCUGCUGCGACUUCCUGGAGGCAUAGCAGAGUUACAACUGCUGGCCAUGUGGAACUUCUCUUCUCCUAUAAGUUUGCUCUGAGAUGGAGAGAUUGUGCCUGUGGUUCAUUAGGAAGAGCUCUUGGGAUCAAUGCCUGUAAUAAGGAAGGGAAGGAAUCAGGAUUGGCCAGAAGGAGAAGUUGAGCUGUGUUGAAGCCUCAAUGGAGACCUCAGCCAAUUCUGAGUCAUGUCCUGAAGCUAGAAUAUGUCCUCUAAAUUAUCCCAAGCUGAGAUGAGGGAGCUGGGCAUUUAGCCCUGUAUUAGGCCAUUCUUGCACUGCUAUAAAGAAAUAACUAUGGCCUGGCGCCGUGGCUCACGUCCUUAAUCCUAGCACUUUGGGAGGCCGAGGCGAGCAGAUCACGAGGUCAGAGUUUGACACCAGCCUGGCCAAUAUGGUGAAACCCCAAUUCUACUAAAAAUACGAAAAUUAGCCAGGCGUGGUGGCACAUGUCUGUAAUCUCAGCUACUCGGGAGGCUGAGGCAGGAGAAUUGCUUGAACCCAGGAAGUGGAGGUUGCAGUGAGCUGAGAUUGUGCCUCUGCACUCCAGCCUAGGGAAUAAAGCGAAAGUCUGUCAAAAAAAAAAAAAAAAAGGAAAGAAGGAAAUAACUGAGACUGGUAAUUUAUAAAGAAGAGGUUUAAUUGGCUCACAGUUCCUCAUGCUAUACAAAAAGCAUGAUGCUGGCAUCUGCUCAGCUUCUUGGGAGGCCUCAGGAAAUGUACAAUCAUGGCAGAAGGUGACGCGGGAGCAGGCAGUUCACAGGGCCGGUGCAGGAGGAGAGAGAGAGGCAGGAGAUGCUACACGCCUUUAAACAACCAGAUCUCCUGAUAACUCACUCUCGUCACAACACCACCAAGGGAGAUGGUGUUAAACCAUGAGAAACCACCUCCACGAUCCAAUCACCUCCCACCAGGCCUCACCUCCAACACUGGGGAUUUAUAAUUCCACGUGAGAUUUGGGUAGAGGACACAGAUCCAAAAUAUAUCAUACCCCCACGUUGAUCAGUCAUUAGAUGUGGGCCACCCUAGUUGAGGCAGCUCCCCUCGCUCAGGUGGUUCCUGAAGCGAGCUGACAGCUGACGGCUGCAUGCCAGAGGUACUGUCAGCAGCUGAAGGAGAGUCUUUUGUGCUAAAAGCCAUCUUAAGCAGCACAGCACAGCGUCCACCACAUAUUGUGGACAGGUGAUAUGGUUUAGAUCUGUAUCCCCACCACAAUUUCAUGCUGAAUUGUAGUCCCCAAUGUUGGAGGUAAGCCCUGGUGGGAGGUGUUCGGGUCGUGGGAGCAGAUCCCUCAUGAAUGGCUUGGGCCAUCCUCUUGGUGAUGAGGGAACACUCACUCUGAGUGUUCACAAGAUCUGGUGGUUUAAACGUGUAUGGCACCUCUCCCCACCCCCACUCUUUCUUGUUCCUGCUUUUGCCAUGGGACUCGCAUGAUCCCUUUGCCUUCUGCCAGGACUAAAAGCUCCCUGGAGCCUCCUCAGAAGCUGAGCGAUGUUGGCGCCAUGCUUCUGGUACAGCCUGCAGAACCAUGAGCCAAUUCAACCUCCUUUCUUUAUAAAUUACCCAGUCUCAGGUAUUUCUUUAUGGCAAUACAAGAACACCAGGGGUUUGCAGGUAACCCGGGCCCCUGUCCUUGAGGACACAGCAGCAAGCCAUUGGUAAAGCAAAACUGUCCAUAAGGAAGGCUGCUCCCAUGCAGUGUUCAUUUGGGCAGCCCAGAAAUCGAGAAAUCCUCGGUCCAUUUCAAGUUUGGGGGAAAACUUAUUUUUAUCAUAUUUGAGAUGAAUAAUAAAAGCAAAUCCAGAAGUCGGAUGGCAUCUUUUAUUGGACUUAGACCUGGUGUUGUUGAAUGGGAUUAGAUCUGUGGGAUGAAGAAUGAAUCCUGAUUCACAGCCACUGCCCUAUACUGGACUUAUGGAGUCCACCCCUGACACACUGUGGCCUCGGGUGCUGAGACUUCCACAGGGUUUUGGAACUGCCCAGAUACAUGUGUGCCAAUUGGAGCCUGGGGUCUGUAUGUCUGUCUUCCAGAACUAAAGAUCUCUCAGAUCCAAAACUGGCUACAUAUUCUGGAGCAUGGAACUUUAAUUUCCUCUUUUAUUUGUUCAUUUGUUCAUCUAUGCAUUUGACAGGUAUUUACUGAAACUAGAUUGCAACUCAACCAGAUGUAGUGGGAGAGGCAGAUAAUUGAAAAAGGAAGUACAAUGGUGUGGGAAAAGUAUUAGGAAAGAGGAAGUGCAGGGUUGUAUGGGAGCUCGAGGAGGAACGGAGAAAGUCUCCCAGGAAAUAAGGGC